AAUGGGCCUACAGAUCCAGUUCUGGCUGCAUCUAUAAUUCAGAUUUUUAAUCCCCACAUCCCAUCGACAGUCUUAGCUAUUAGCAGCUGUGGUCUAAGAGAAAUGAGGGAUGCUGCUCCAGCAAGGACAUCAUUAUCAGGCAAAGGUCCUAAAAAAAAAAAAGGUUCAUGUCUCAGUGUGUUAAGCGUUACCUAAAUUGAAGGUGUGUGUUAUUAGUAUAUGGAGAUUACCUCCAUAUGCUUUGUACAGGGUUGACUGCACACUGCUCCUGCCAGAGGCUUUCGGCUUUUCGGCACCACAAGCUCAUCCACCGGUUCAAGAGUUAUGCCCUGACAAAACAUUUAUAUAUUUUUACUGGAAGAUUGUAACUUUAUUUGCAAAUUAGCCACUUUACAUUUAUUUUUAUUUAUUACUGCUGAUUUAUUAUUUAUUACUGCUUUAUUAUUAACUGUUGUUAAAUUAAAUCUCUUUGAAGGAUGAGGAGUUUUCUUUUUUUUAUUUUACCUGGGUGCGGGGCCUAUGCCAGGACUGCUGCUUGCUUGUGCAUGCAAGGGCAGCCGGAACAUUCUUGGUGCCUAGCGUACUAAAAUGUGCUGUCUGAUACAUUAAUGCAACCAGAUGGUUGCACAAAUUUCUCCCAGCAGCACAUGAGCAUGUAUAUGCUGUCAGUUCAGGUGGGGUGAUGGUUUCAAGUGUGAUCUGAAGAACGUGAUAGAAAGAUCAUUUAUUUCACAUCUUUAUUUAAAGGUGCUCUAAGCGAUGUCACGCGUUUAUAGGCCAAAACAUUUUUUGUCACAUACAGCAAACAUCUCCUCACUAUCUGCUAGCUGCAUGUCCCCUGAACACACUGUAAAAAAAAUUUAACCAAAAUUCUUUAUCUUUUUUACGGUUACAAUUUAUGGCUAAUUUUAUUGUCUAAUGAGGCUUGAGAUCACCUUUUUUUCUAGCUUAUGCAAGAUUCGAUAAGGACUGUGACAACUGAAGAUCACUUUGCUCCCUGUUUGUGGCUAUAGACUAUAUUUGAGUUGUGAUUUGCUAAUGUUCUUGGCAGAUCCAUCACAAUGACUGUUUCGGAAAUCAGAAAUCAGAUAGAUAUCUAAACUGUCCAAAUGGUAUAAAUCUGUCACAAUAGUUUAAUAACACUCACAAAAUAACAAAAUAAAGCAAAUUUUGUUGUCUGUUGAAAUUUGGAUGGGUUCAUUUUGAGCAGCUGCUUCCCCACCAUCCUCACUGUAAUCAUCAGAACGCAAUUCAGCAUCUGGCUCUAAACCAUUUGAUACAUUCAAAACUAUUGUUUUGAUGUUUUUCUUAAUCUACAUUUUGAGAUUUGUUAUCAGAUCCACUAUCAAGUAUUAUAUAUUUAUGUAUAAAUAUAUAAUUUAUAUUUAUGUACCUGCUCUACAGUAAAGCUCGACGAUGUCAUGAUCAUGAGUUGGAGUGCCCCGUUUAGCCACCAGAGGGCACUCCAACAAGGACCCUUUGUCACCUGUCAGAACUACAUUACCCAUAACUCACCUCCUGGACUCAUUAUCCUCAUUUCAUUGCACCCAGCUGUUUUGUGUUUGCUCAUUAGUUUCUGUCUAUUUAGUCUCAGUUGUUUCUGUCUUUGUUUGUGGUUUGUUAAUGUUACGUGCACUUUAUUCCUGGCUUUUGUUUUAUGGACUGUUAUCUGGAUUUUGACCCUUGCCUGCCUUUGGAUUACGACCCUGGAUUUACCAAUAAAUGCUGCGCUUGGAUCCUAACAUCUUGUCUGUAUGCAUUCCGUGACAGACGAGCCAUGUCAUGAUUUGCUACUUGUACAUUCUUUAGUUUUAUGGCUGCACUAAUUACUAUGAUUGAUGUAUCGUGUCAUAAUUGUUUAUCAGACAUUGCCACCUUGAGGAAUAAAGAUGAAUUACCCUUACUGAGAUGUCAGAGACUCAAUAUUGUUGCUCAGAAAAAAAAAAGAAAUUUAAAAUCUCGGGUCACUAGCGACCCUAUACAUUUUUUGUACAUGACGAUAAGCAAUUUCACAGGAAAGAGUGCUUUUCCCGAAUCUGAGCAUGACUGAAAAUGUGAUGUUGACAACGGAUCAAUAAACAAUAAGUUAAUUUUGA